rnacentral:lncRNA from 1 species
GGUUAAUUGCCGGAAAAACCAUAUACUUUUUCGAUUUUUGGUUAUUUCCCAUGACAAAAAAAUUCUGAACAGAAAUCCAUGAAUUGAAAACUUAAUUGUAAUUUUCCCCCGCGUCCAUUUUUUCCCCAAAUUGAAUCCGAGGUGGCAAUCGGAUUUCCAGCGUGUCAUCGCCGGGAAUUGGAGUUUUGCGGCGAUAGUGAAGCUUUUUUGAGUCCCGUCACCUCGACCUCCGGCGCCAGCAAACCAGUCAACGGUCGCCUUGCCCGAGCCUCGUGACUCCACCCCGAGUCCCCGACGCCGGCGGCGAUUGGCAGUUGGCACGACAAUUAGUUUUGAGAGAACUGAUUUAGAUCCCAGCUCCCACCUCCGCCGCCCUCAUCUCGCCUCCAACCUCCGCCCUCUCGCCUCGCCGCUUCCACACACCGCCUCCGCCCUCCCCUUUCCUCUUCCAGUUCGCUCGCCUCUAUUCUCAUUAAUUAGGGCUCAUUGCUUGACAAAGCAGGGGAGGGAGACAGAACCAG